rnacentral:rRNA from 1 species
AUUGAACGCUGGCGGCAGGCCUAACACAUGCAAGUCGAGCGGAUGAAGGGAGCUUGCUCCUGGAUUCAGCGGCGGACGGGUGAGUAAUGCCUAGGAAUCUGCCUGGUAGUGGGGGAUAACGUCCUGAAACGGGCGCUAAUACCGCAUACGUCCUGAGGGAGAAAGUGGGGGAUCUUCGGACCUCACGCUAUCAGAUGAGCCUAGGUCGGAUUAGCUAGUUUGUGGGGUAAAGGCCUACCAAGGCGACGAUCCGUAACUGGUCUGAGAGGAUGAUCAGUCACACUGGAACUGAGACACGGUCCAGACUCCUACGGGAGGCAGCAGUGGGGAAUAUUGGACAAUGGGCGAAAGCCUGAUCCAGCCAUGCCGCGUGUGUGAAGAAGGUCUUCGGAUUGUAAAGCACUUUAAGUGGGGAGGAAGGGCAGUAAGUUAAUACCUUGCUGGUUUGACGGUACCAACAGAAUAAGCACCGGCUAACUUCGUG